UUUUAUCUACUUCAUAUUUAGUCGCAAGGGUGCAGCACUUAUCGCUUGUUACGUCAGACAAUAAUGACGUGCUAAUGGUUAAUGGCUUCUACUUACUUGAGCUACCUUUAUGAGAAAGCCAAAUACAAUCCAAAGAAAAUUCAUGAGAUAUGAUGCAUCGGCUAGUAAAACUAUAAAAAUAUGAUUGCCUGAACAUUUAAUUGUUACGAUAGCUAUUAAUCUUUAUCAAAUUUUACUCGUGGCCUACGAAAUAUGUGUUAAAACUGUUUACUGAGCAACGAACGUAACCAUUACAUCCAUCGCUACGUUGGAUCAGCUCGAUGCGAAGAAACUCAACAUUUAGCGUGAUAUCACAAGAUUUAUAUUGCACUAGGUGACAUGCCUAGCGGCCGUGAUAUUGAAAGAGCUGAACGUAAUGGAAGAUUUCGAUCACGUAGAAGAGGAAGUACUAGCAGUGAUAUAAAUCGACAUGGUUUUGAAGCAUCUGAUAAAAAACAUAGAAGGCAUGGAAAAAACAAAAGUUCUGGAAAAAAGAAGAAGAAGAGAUCAAGAGAUAAAUCCAUAGAAAAUGUGCCAACUGUUGCUUCUUCUAUUGUUAAACCUUUGGUUGAAUAUUCAGAUGUGAGUAGUGAAGAUUUAUCUGAACCAGAAGCUGGUGAAAUUCAGUCAGAAGAUAGUAGAGGUAAUAGCUAUACAGAUGGAGAAGUACCUGAACCAGUUUUACAAAGACGUUAUUAUGGAGGAAGCCCAGUACGUGCUCUUGGAGCAUCUCCUAUUAGUCUUUCACCAUCUCCACCAGUUCAACAUAGGCAUUCUAACAGACAUUAUUCACCAAAUGAGCAACAACCUUCAACAAUGCAUGGUGGAACACCUGAAUAUGAAGAAGAGUCUAGACGAUAUGCAAGAAGAAAAGAAAAAAAGCAUAAACGAGAAAAGAAAAAAAAGAGAAGCAUCAGUCCUUCAUCUAGUUCUGGAAAAAAGAAAAAACGAAAGUCUAAAAGACAUUCUCGUAGUUUAAGUCCACAUCGUAUUACAGAUGAAAUUAUUAUAAGUCCAGAACAUGAAAAACCAGUUGGAAAUUGGUCAGAAUCACCACCUUUACCAUUAAAAGACAGUACUUCACCAAUAUCCCCUGCCACACCUCAAGAACAAAGGUGUUUAAGUGAUGUAGAACUUGAAAUAACAAGACAACCUCGAAAUGUAACUCCUCCACCACUUCCUCCAAGACCAACUGAAUCUCCCCAUACUCCUUUAUUACCUCCAAGAACAACAACACCAGAAAACAAUAAAGCAAGUUUGUCCACAAUGAAACAUACUCCUGAAAGACAGAAACAUAGUCCUAGUAUUCAUACACGACGUAGUAGUAUUAGUCCAGGGCCCACUAUUAGCUCAAGUCGUAGGAGACCUCAUAGUCCAAGCCCACCAUCACGUCGAAGGGACCAUAGUUUAACGAGAAGAAGAGAUUUCAGUCCAAGUCCAAUGGUGCAUAGACUCAGGCACAGUCCUAGUCCUUCUACAAGACGGAGAGAAUUUAGUCCGAGUCCUGUAAGUCAUCGUCGUAGAGAUCCUGUUAGUUCUCCGUCUUCGAGUAAACGUAGACGACGAGAAGAAUCUGAACGACGACAUAGACAUCAUGAAAAAGAUAGAAGAGAUAAAAGAAAAUCGAGAUCAACUAGAAGUCCUACUGGAAGCAGAUUGCAUUUACCUCUUUCUCGUUCACGUUCGCGAAGUCCCGGACGAUGGCGAAAAGUACAAUCACGAUCUAGAUCACGUUCACGAAGAAGAAGUCGUACUCCGAAAAAAUCUCGUUCUCCUAGCAAAUCACAUAAAUCAGCAAGAAAACACAAAUCAAAGAGUCCACGUCCUUCGAGAAUACCUUCUCCUUCUCCUCAUAGAUCCAGAGCAAGAAGUCCUUCAAGUAUUACAGCAAGAAAUCUUAGAGUACAAGCAAAGAUUAGUGAAACUAGUUUGUUUGCUGAACUUGUAAAAGAUAGAAAUAUGAGAGAAUUAGCAUAUAAAAAAUUACAAGCAGCUAAGGAAAAAGCUGUUACUCAAGAUGAAGUUCAAAUUAUAGAAGGCACUGACGAGAAAGAUGCUAGUAAUGCAUCUUCCGAAAAUAAACCUUCCACUGACAAUAAAGACAAAUAUAUAAAUCAUAAAGAACAAUUAAAGACAACAAGUGAAAAUAUGAAACCUGUUGAUCUUGUAGAUAUUCCUGUUCCAAUGUCGGAUGAUAAUGGAAUAGCAGGAAAAACUCCACCAUUACCAAUUACACAAACCGUUAAUGCACCAAGUGUAAUACAUGGAGCUAAUCAACAUCCUCCAAUGAUUGUAUAUACUUCGCCUACAACUACAAAUGUUUGUCCAGUGACUGUUACAAGCAGUCCAAGUUUUCCAGCUGUUACAAAUUUGCAAGCACCACCAUUACCACAAUCUGAGUCUGCAAAUGCAGCAGGUUUAGUAUCUAUGCCAGUGCCUAUUCCUGUACCAGUACCUGUUCUGCCUAAUUUAUCUGUUCCACCACCACCUAUACCUAUACCAGUUCCAGCACCAAAUACAGCCAUGUCUAAAUUUAAUCCUCCUAACAAUUUAGUUCCUCUUAAAUCAGUAGAUCCUCCUAAACCUCCUAUUGUGGCAUUUAAAACUAAAAGUUUAUCACGAUUACCAUUACCACCUGGAAUUAAUCAAAAUGAUUUAGAAAGUAUAGACUCGCCACCAAGUCGAUCUCCAAGUCCUCCUAGUAAGGCACAAAUGAAAUUCCCAGCUUCAACUCCAAAACCACCACAGAAGAAGAGUAUUAAAGACUUACCUAUGCCACCAGUUGUUCCUGGAUCGGAAGAUUUAAGUGGAGAAGAUGAUCCAAAUGCAACACCACCUCGUACAAAAGUUGAACAUGUUCCACCAAAACCGAAAUUAAAAAGACCAAAAAUUUUAAAGCGUAGAGGUUCUAGAAAUUGUCAUACUCCUAUGUCAACUUCGAGCGGUAAAGAUUGGGGAGAACGUUCUGUUGAUGUAUUUGAAUUCAUAACUCAAAUAGGAGAGGGUACUUAUGGACAAGUUUAUAAAGCUCGAGACAAACGAGCUGGUGUACUUGUUGCAUUGAAGAAAGUUCGUCUAGAAAACGAAAAAGAGGGAUUCCCUGUUACAGCAGUACGAGAAAUUAAAAUCUUACGUCAACUUAAUCAUAAAAAUAUUGUGAACUUGAGAGAAAUAGUUACGGAUAAACAAGAUGUAUUGGAUUUUAGAAAGGACAAAGGCUCAUUCUAUCUUGUAUUUGAAUACAUGGAUCAUGAUUUAAUGGGUCUUUUAGAAUCUGGAAUGGUCGAUUUUAAUGAAAUGAACAAUGCAAGCAUUAUGAAACAGUUAUUAGAUGGAUUAAAUUACUGCCACAGUAAAAACUUUUUACACAGAGACAUCAAAUGUUCUAAUAUACUGAUGAAUAACAAAGGGGAAGUUAAAUUAGCCGACUUUGGACUUGCGAGGCUUUAUAAUGCUGAAGAUAGACAGCGACCUUAUACAAAUAAAGUGAUUACUUUAUGGUAUAGACCACCUGAAUUAUUGUUGGGUGAAGAACGUUAUGGUCCUGCAAUAGAUGUAUGGAGUUGUGGUUGUAUUCUAGGAGAAUUAUUUUCUAAAAAACCAUUAUUUCAUGCAAAUGUAGAAAUGAUGCAAUUGGAGAUGAUUUCCAGAGUUUGUGGAACUCCAACUCCUGCUGUUUGGCCUUCUGUGAUAAAACUGCCAUUGUGGCGUACCUUGAAACCAAAAAAAUCACAUAGAAGACGUUUACGAGAAGAUUUUUCAUUUAUGCCAGCACCAGCUCUGGAUCUUUUAGAUAAAAUGUUGGAAUUAGAUCCAGAAAAACGAAUAACUGCUGCUGAUGCGCUUAAAAGUGCUUGGCUGAAAAAUGUUCAACCCGAGCAAAUGCCUGCGCCUCAACUUCCAACUUGGCAAGACUGUCAUGAGCUUUGGAGUAAGAAACGAAGACAUCAGUUACGAGAUCAACAAGAAAGCUCCGCUGGAAAGAUGCCUCUUCUUCCGCUUCCAAAUAAAGGAGGUCCCCAUAAGGCUAUUGAAGAUCUAUCUGAUGUCGGGGGAUCUUCCAAACGUUUAAAAAUGGAAGCAGGUUACAAUUCUCAUCCAAAUCGUCUCAGUACGGAAUCCCACUAUGGAGGAGAUAAUUUGUUCAACCAAAGCAGACCUUAUAUGGUCUCAUCACCAUCAUAUUAUUACACUAGUCCUCCACCUGUUACACCACGACCCAAGGGAGAUACUAGACCUUAUAUGGUCUCAUCACCAUCAUAUUUUUAUGUUAGUCCACCACCUGUUACACCACGGCCCAAGGGAGAUACUAGUUCUCAUAUGUCAGAAUUAUACACGGAAGAUAGUCUUGUUCGAAAAUUAAGUUUACUCACAAACGCAUUAAAUCAAGGAAAACCAAUUCGUGUUGAAGAUCUUAUGUCGCUUCGAUCAGAUAAUGAGAGUGAUCCAAAAGUAGUACAAUUAUUAGGAGAACUACAUGCUGAACUACGACUUGCUGCAAAUUCAAGAUCAAGUGGACUAAUAGAAUCUCAACUUUCUGUAUUAAAUCCACCACUUUUAGAUACAAAUGCAGCACAAUCAGGAAACUUUGAUGCACAUGCAGUUUAUGCUGGUGAUGAUGCAAUGAGUUCUGGAAGAUGGUCACAAGUGGCAACAGCUGGUGUUCGCAGUGCAUUAUUAGCGCUCAUGUCGCGCUAUGGUUUGGAAACUUGCAAUCCUUCCCCUGUUAUCACCCGACCCCCAGGUAAACCAAUAUCCAACCUAACACAAAACCUUUCCCUACCCUCAACUUCCUCUCAAUCAGCAUUUAGCUCAUAAUGAUUUGUAUAUAUAACUCUUUACAGCGUUCUAAACUAUGUUCUGUAUAAAGUUGGAAAAGGUCUAAAUUGCUAUUUUUUAAAUUAACUAGGCAUGGAAGUACAACUGCAUCCAAGUUGUUUAUAGACUACUCUCUGUUCAUAACUAUUGAAGUGAUUCCAAGAAAAACACUGCGAAAAUGAGGUUAGGAAGUGUGCUUCUAUACCGGCAAGCUGUAUACAAUAUGUGACCAUAUCAUGGCGAUUUGUGCUGCGAUUUAAAAAGAAACUAUCGACACGCUGUAGAUUAUUCAGUGAAGUGAUCAGCAGUAUGACAUUGUGGGAAUGAAUAAUAAAUUAUUUGUUUUGUUGAAUUUAUUCGAUUCUAUACUCGGUGUGAUAAUAAUAUACGUAAUAAAAAAAAAAAAAACAACGAAUUAAUUAACAAAAA